AGUUGAAAUCGUAGGAUAAGAGCGGAGAAGAAGCGCAGAACCAGUCGAAUGAUGAGUGGAGGUAUGGUGUUCUGCACAAACACACUUGAUUUGUCCCUUAAAUUUGUUGCAUGUAAACAAAGUGCUGCUUUUCGACACUAUCAAGGUAGUUUAUGAUGUGGGUAUAUUGUUCUGCUCAAUGUUGUGUGCUUUGAGUAUAUUCUGUAAAUUGGGAUUGUGUUUUGGUGGUUGCAUGCCAUUGUUUUGCUCCGUACUCUAAUAUUCUAGGUGAUUCCGAUUUCCCCAAUUACGGUGUCCUGCUGUAGGACUUGUUGCCUGGGUUAAUGCAUAGAGAGAAUGUCGUGAAUGCUUUUAUGUUUGAUUUUAAU
rnacentral:lncRNA from 1 species